rnacentral:rRNA from 1 species
GACGAACGCUGGCGGCGUGCUUAACACAUGCAAGUCGAACGAUGAAGCCGGAGCUUGCUCUGGUGAAUUAGUGGCGAACGGGUGAGUAACACGUGAGUAACCUGCCCUUGACUCUGGGAUAACUGCGGGAAACUGUAGCUAAUACCGGAUACGACCCUCGGAGGCAUCUCCUGGGGGUGGAAAGAAUUUCGGUCAAGGAUGGACUCGCGGCCUAUCAGCUAGUUGGUGAGGUAAAGGCUCACCAAGGCGACGACGGGUAGCCGGCCUGAGAGGGGGACCGGCCACACUGGGACUGAGACACGGCCCAGACUCCUACGGGAGGCAGCAGUGGGGAAUACUGCACAAUGGGCGCAAGCCUGAUGCAGCAACUCCGCGUGAGGGAUGACGGCCUUCGGGUUGUAAACCUCUUUUAGCAGGGAAGAAGCGAAAGUGACGGUACCUGCAGAAAAAGCACCGGCUAACUACGUGCCAGCCGCCGCAGUAA